rnacentral:lncRNA from 1 species
AACUGAAUCAUUAAAAAAAAUUGAAUAAUUUAUCCAAAUUCUUAUAUUAAAUUAUAAAUUAUCAUGACACCAUAGAUAAAAGACAAAGUACAGAUGAAGAUGAUGCCCACCCUCUUGGGGAUAAGAUUGUGUUCUCGAAAGACAAUACUAUGAUUGUGUGGGUUCUUUUUUUUUUUCUCUCCAAAAUCAAAGUGCAUUAAUAAAAGUGAUCGAAGCGCAAUUACAUGAGAAAAUCAGAAAAGAAGCAAGCAGGCCCAUGGCUAAGAAGAUCAACAGUAGAAAAUGGUCCACAAGUCCAAACCUAAGAAAAUCCUAACACAGUUGAUCAAUAAGGAGAAGUGCCGCCUUCCUUCCGCCGCAGUGAAGGUGUCAUACAAGCAUGAUAGCUCAUUCAACACAACAAACUCUAAAAAGGGCAACAAACAGACGGUACGAUGCUCAGAAAACAAAGAAUAAGUACAUAACUCAACUGGCACCUACAUUUACAACAAAGAAAGACCAAAAAAGGAGAUGGUGAGAAGACAAAAAACAAGCAGGUGUGGCGGGCUUCAGGAUGUCAACAACAACCGUAGCCAUCCCUCGAAGGCUACUGAACCCUACUCGCCGGAUUUGGACAAAGGGGAGUGGAAAGAGGAGCCCACAGCUGGAUGGAGGGGAGAGGCCUCUCUUACUCGGUGGAGCAGAAAAGGGAAGUUUUAUUGUGGUGAAAUGACUACAAACUCAACUUCAAUUCUGUGUGGGUUCUGUGGGUCCAAUUGAAACUGAGAACUGUAUCCUACUAUUGGAAUGGAAUUAUUUCUAUAAUAACUACACCUUAGUUCAUUAAAAAAAAAAAACAUAAAAUAGGGGUAACGUUAGGAAACUAAUGAAUAAUAAACAUCUAAAAAAGAAAAGUGAUAUGGAAAAAGUAAAAGAAUCUAAUUAUAAUUUUCAUCACCAUAAUUUAUCUCAAGAUACAAAUUCUCAUUCAUAUGAGAUCCAGGCAUAAAUAGUCAAUAAAAGUUCUAACACUAUGUUUUGUAAUACAAUAUAAUAUAAGUUAUGUCAUGUCAUGUAAUAUAGUGGUCAUGUUAUAUGUUUGAUUUCAAACGAAUGUAGGUGGCAAUUGCCAAUCGAUGUUGGCAGAGUGAUAUGGAUAAUGGUGGUGGUGACAACAACCUCCACAUUAGUGAUAGUAGCGGUUAACAAAUAUCAGCCUAAAGCUAAAAGCAUUGAAGAACUCAUUUUGAUCCUCAGUUUAAAAAGGCUAAAUUGAUUAUAAUUGCAUUCAAGGGAGAAAAAUAAAAUAUUACAUCAUUUGGAGUCGUCCUUUAGAAGAUAGUGCCUAGAUUUAGAAAAUGAAUAUUUAAUAAUUAAAACCAUUAUCCACAAAGUCAUUUUCCUCACUGCUGCUGUAAGAUUCAACCACUUGACUAUCAUCAUCGUCAUCCUCAUCUCCCUCGGCCACAAUCUCCAGUAUCCCAGCUCCCCCAUCAAAGUCUACAUCAUCCAUAAUGAAGUCCCCA